rnacentral:rRNA from 1 species
CCUUGCCCUACGGGGGGCAGCAGUGAGGAAUAUUGGUCAAUGGUCGGGAGACUGAACCAGCCCAGCCGCGUGAGGGAUGAAGGUACAGAGUAUCGUAAACCUCUUUUGUCAGGGAACAAAGGCGGGGACGUGUCCCCGGAUGAGUGUACCUGAAGAAAAAGCAUCGGCUAACUCCGUGCCAGCAGCCGCGGUAAUACGGAGGAUGCGAGCGUUAUCCGGAUUUAUUGGGUUUAAAGGGUGCGCAGGCGGUCUGUUAAGUCAGCGGUCAAAGCCCGGGGCUCAACCCCGCCCAGCCGUCGGAACUG